rnacentral:lncRNA from 10 species
GCCUAUUUUAGAAAAUCCCAUUGGUGUCAUGAACAUUGAGCUUGACACAUUACACAUUAAUUACCAAUAUUCAUUAUGGUUUCAUGGAUAAAUGAGUUUUAUUUUUUAACAUGUUUUCCAGAGCAGUCAUUCUCAAAUAUUUAAAUAUUAAAAUAUGCACAAUCUUAUUUCAGUAAUUUUAUUUCUCUUUUAUAUAGCUUAAGGACAUUACAUUAUUUUUUAAAAAUUGUUGGAGUAGGUAUAUAUAUAUAUCUUCUAUGUAUUUUCUUUCAUGUUAAUAACUGAGUUUUUACAUGCUAUUUACUGUGAAAAGAAGCUAUUUUAUUUCACAGGUUGAGAACAACCAUCACAGGCUAUUUCAGCAUUUAAAUUAUAAAACUUCUGUGGUCAGAUUUGCAUAAUUGAAAGAUCUCUCUUCCAGCAUUGAGAAUAAACUAUUAAAGAAUGUAAAGCAAAGAGAACACUUAUAACCCUAUUGCUUUUGUGGAUGAGAGGUGAAAAAGACCUGAAGUAAAAUAAUGACGGUGAGAAAGAAUAACAUAAAAGACUUUCUGGAGAUAAGAAGACUAUAGAAUAGAAUUGACUUAGAGGAUUGAGGCUGAUUCUCAAGUUUUUACUUGUUUGUUUAUUUGAGACAAACUCUUGUUCUGUUGCCUAGGGUGGAGUGCAGUGGUGUUGAUCUCUUCUCACUGCAAUCUUUGCCUCCAGGAUUCAAGUGAUUCUCCUGCCUCAGCCUCCCAAGUACUGGGACUAUAGGUGCAUGGACCACACCCGACUAAUGUUUGUAUUUUUAGUAGAGACGGGGUUUUGCCAUGUUGCCCAGGCUGGUCUGAAACUCCGAGGCUCAAGUGAUCCACCUGCCUCAGCCUCCCAAAAUGUUGGGAUUACAGGUGUCAGCCACCAUGCCCAGCCUCAAGUUUUUAUUUAGAUAACAAGUGUGUCUGGAAUUGGUUCCUUCCGGUGGGUUCUUGGUCUCACUGACUUCAAUAACGAAGCCACUGACCCUCGCGGUGAGUGUUACAGUUUUUACGGGUAAUGUGUCUGAAUUUAUUCCUUCAGAUGUUUAGCUGUGUCCAGAGUUUCUUCCUUCCGGUGGGUUCGUGGUCUCGCUGACUUCAGGAGUGAAGCUGCAGACCUUUGCAGUGAGUGUUACAGUUCUUAAAGGUGGUGCGUCUGGAGUUGUUUGUUCCUCCUGGGGGGUUCGUGGUCUCGCUGACUUCAGGAAUGAAGCCACAGACUCUCGCGGUGAGUAUUACGGCUGAUAAAGGUACUGCAGACCCAAAGAGUGACUAGCAGCAAGAGUCAUUGUGAAGAAGAGCAAAAGAAUUAAGCUCCCACAGUGUGGAAGCCGACCCCAACGGGUUGCGGCUGCCAGCGGGGGGUGGCCAGCUUUUAUUUCCU